AGAGUUUGAUCAUGGCUCAGGAUGAACGCUGGCGGCGUGCCUAACACAUGCAAGUCGAACGAAGCGCUUUACUUUGAUUUCUUCGGGAUGAAGAGUUUUGUGACUGAGUGGCGGACGGGUGAGUAACGCGUGGGUAACCUGCCUCAUACAGGGGGAUAACAGUUAGAAAUGACUGCUAAUACCGCAUAAGACCACAGCUUCGCAUGGAGCAGUGGUAAAAACUCCGGUGGUAUGAGAUGGACCCGCGUCUGAUUAGCUAGUUGGUAAGGUAAGGGCUUACCAAGGCGACGAUCAGUAGCCGGCCUGAGAGGGUGGACGGCCACAUUGGGACUGAGACACGGCCCAAACUCCUACGGGAGGCAGCAGUGGGGAAUAUUGCACAAUGGGGGAAACCCUGAUGCAGCGACGCCGCGUGAGCGAAGAAGUAUUUCGGUAUGUAAAGCUCUAUCAGCAGGGAAGAAACUGACGGUACCUGACUAAGAAGCACCGGCUAAAUACGUGCCAGCAGCCGCGGUAAUACGUAUGGUGCAAGCGUUAUCCGG
rnacentral:rRNA from 1 species